GUCUAUGGCCAUGCCACCCUGAACAUGCCCUAUCUUCUCUGAUCGCAGAAGCUAAGCAGGGUCGGGCCUGGUUAGUACUUAGAUAGAAGACCACCUAGGAAGACCAGGUGCUGUAGGUG
rnacentral:rRNA from 1 species